rnacentral:rRNA from 1 species
AUUGAACGCUGGCGGCAUGCCUUACACAUGCAAGUCGAACGGCAGCGGGGGAGAAGCUUGCUUUUCCUGCCGGCGAGUGGCGAACGGGUGAGUAAUACAUCGGAACGUGCCCUGUAGUGGGGGAUAACUAGUCGAAAGAUUAGCUAAUACCGCAUACGACCUGAGGGUGAAAGUGGGGGACCGCAAGGCCUCAUGCUAUAGGAGCGGCCGAUGUCUGAUUAGCGAGUUGGUGGGGUAAAGGCCUACCAAGGCGACGAUCAGUAGCUGGUCUGAGAGGACGAUCAGCCACACUGGGACUGAGACACGGCCCAGACUCCUACGGGAGGCAGCAGUGGGGAAUUUUGGACAAUGGGCGAAAGCCUGAUCCAGCAAUGCCGCGUGUGUGAAGAAGGCCUUCGGGUUGUAAAGCAUUUUUGUCCGGAAAGAAAUGGCUCUGGUUAAUACCUGGGGUCGAUGACGGUACCGAAAGAAUAAGGACCGGCUAACUACGUGCCAGCCGCCGCAGUAA